UGCCAUUGCUUGAACCUCCUCGGGACUACGGGUAUUUCAAUCCUGUUUGCUCCCACGCUUUCGCGCCUCAGCGUCAGUAUUGGUCCAGUUGGCCGCCUUCGCCACCAGGCCUUGCGAAUAUCUACGAAUUUCACCCUGCUACCCGCAGCCCACCGGAACCUCACCAAACCCGGCCAAACAGUAUCGAAGGCAAUUCUGUGCUGAGCCACAGAAGCCACCCCCGACUUGAAUGGCCGCCCACGCGCCCUUUCCGCCCAGUGAUUCUUGAGCACCAGCUUCUUCGUAUUACCGCGGCUGCUGGCACGAAGUUAGCCGGGGCUUAUUCUUCCGGUGCCGUCAUUAUCGUCCCGUAAUAAAAGAGCUUUACAACCCUAAGGCCACCACCACGCGGUAUGGUUGGAUCAGGUAUGCGCCCAUUGUCCACAUUCUCUACCGUUGCGCCCUGCAGGCGAGGAGGCCAUCGGGUAGUAAGAUAAAUGACGGAACCGGAACGCCACAUACCGCGAAGUUACGUAUUGUUCUGGAGCAUCAGGGUAGUAACAGAGAGUUUGAUUAUGGCUCAGAUUGAACGCUGGCGGAUGCUUUUUGGCACAUGCAAGUCGAACGGCAGCACGGACUUCGGUCUGGUAUGGCGAGUGGCGAACGGGUGAGUAAUGUGUCGGAACGCUCAGUAGCGGGGGAUAACUACGCGAAAGCGUAGCUAAUACUGCAUACACCUCUUCGGGGGAAAGCGGGGACCUUUCGGGCCUCGCACUAUUAGAGCGGCCGAUAUCGGAUUAGCUAGUUGGUGGGGUAACGGUCAAUUAAGGCGACGAUCCGUAGCUGGUUUGAGAGGACGACCAGCCACACUGGGACUGAGACACGGCCCAGACUCCUACGGGAGGCGCAGUGGGGAAUUUUGGCAAUGGGGGAAACCCCUGAUCCAGCCAUCCUGGGCGUGUGCGAUGAAGGCCUUCGGGUUGUAAAGCAAUUUUUGCAGGAAAGAAGUGGCAUCGGAUAAUACCCCGUGCAACUGACGGUACCUGGCAGAAUAAGCACUACAACUACGCCAGCAGCUGCGGUAAUACGUAGGGUGCAAGCGUUAAUCGGAAUUACUGGGCGUAAAGCGUGCGCAGGCGGUUCGAAAGAAGAUGAACCCAGAGCUUAACUUUGGAACUGCAUUUUUAACUACCGAGUUUAGAGUGUGUCGAGUAGGAAUUCGGCGUGUAGCAGUGAAAUGCGUAGAUAUGCGGAGGAACACCGAUGGCGAAGGCAGCUUCCUGGGAUAACACUGACGCUCAUGCACGAAAGCGUGGGGAGCAAACAGGAUUAGAUACCCUGGUAGUCCACGCCCCAAACGAUGUCAACUAGCUGUUGGGGCCUUCGGGCCUUGUAGCGCAGCUAACGCGUGAAGUUGACCGCUCAGAGUACGGUCGCAAGAUUGAAACUCAAAGGAAUUGACGGGACUCCGCAUAAGCGGUGGAUGAUGUGGAUUAAUUCGAUGCAACGCGAAAAACCUUAUCACUCCUGAUAUGUCUGGAAUCCCGAAGAGAUUUGGGAGUGCUCGUGAACCGGAACACAGGUGCUGUAUGGCUGUCGUCAGCUCGUGUCGUGAGAUGUUGGGUUAAGUCCCGCAACGAGCGCAACCCUUUGUCAUUAGUUGCUACGAAAGGGCACUCUAAUGAGACUGCCGGUGACAAACCGAGGAAGGUGGGGAUGACGUCAAGUCCGCGGCCCUUGCGGUAGGGCUUCACACGUCAUACAAUGGUCGGGACAGAGUUCAACCCGCGAGGGGGAGCCAACCCCAGAAACCCGAUCGUAGUCCGGAUCGCAGUCUGCAACCUCGACUGCGUGAAGUCGGAAUCGCUAGUAAUCGCGGAUCAGCAUGUCGCGGUGAAUACGUUCCCGGGUCUUGUACACACCGCCCGUCACACCAUGGGAGUGGGUUUUACCAGAAGUAGUUGUUCAACCGUAAGGAGGGCGAUUACCACGGUAGGAUUCAUGAUCGGGGUGAAGCCGUAACAAGGUAG
rnacentral:misc_RNA from 1 species